UGUCAUCUUGAUUUCUAAAAU
ensembl:piRNA 21ur-282 ncRNA